AGUGGGGAAUAUUGCACAAUGGGCGAAAGCCUGAUGCAGCAACGCCGCGUGAGUGAAGAAGGCCUUCGGGUUGUAAAGCUCUGUCAUUAGGGACGAAAAUGACGGUACCUAAUGAGGAAGCCACGGCUAACUACGUGCCAGCAGCCGCGGUAAUACGUAGGUGGCAAGCGUUGUCCGGAUUUACUGGGCGUAAAGGAUGCGUAGGCGGAAUAUUAAGUCAGAUGUGAAAUACCCGGGCUCAACCUGGGGGGUGCAUUUGAAACUGGUAUUCUAGAGUGCGGGAGAGGAAAGUGGAAUUCCUAGUGUAGCGGUGAAAUGCGUAGAGAUUAGGAAGAACACCAGUGGCGAAGGCGACUUUCUGGACCGUAACUGACGCUGAGGCAUGAAAGCGUGGGGAGCAAA
rnacentral:rRNA from 1 species